UACAGAGGGGGCAAGCGUUGUUCGGAAUUACUGGGCGUAAAGGGCGCGUAGGCGGCCCGCUAAGUCGAACGUGAAAUCCCCAGGCUCAACCUGGGAACUGCGUCCGAUACUGGCAGGCUUGAAUCCGGGGAGAGGGAUGUGGAAUUCCAGGUGUAGCGGUGAAAUGCGUAGAUAUCUGGAGGAACACCGGUGGCGAAGGCGGCAUCCUGGACCGGGUAUUGACGCUGAGGCGCGAAAGCUAGGGGAGCAAACGGG
rnacentral:rRNA from 1 species